GUCUGCUCUUCCGAACUAUCUUAAACAGUGCACCUGUGAGCUGUCAAGAAACAAGGCAGCACCCCCUCAACUGCGUUCCAUCCUGCGUAGCCCAUCCCUUCAGCAAGUGCCAGGAAACCACAGCAAUCCCUGCAAUUCCCUUAUUAUGUGAUCCCAAUCCUAAAUUCUCCCUUCUAACAUGUUCUGCUUACUUUCCAGGAUCUCGUAGUCCACAGAAGACCACUAUCACUAAGCUUUUAGACACCAUGGAGCAGUGGCAUCUCGGGCUGGAAACAAUUUUUAGGGGGGGAGUCACUCAGCAAAUGCAGUUGUCCACUUGUUUUGAAAUUUUGCUUUCUCUGUUUGUUUUGUUACUAACUAUUUCUUGUGUCACAGCAUGCUGCAAGAAGGACUAUCACAACAGACAUUUUUCAAACUAAUAAGAAAGGGUGAGAUGUAGAGAAGCAAGAUUCAGGAUGGGAACAGUUCCAGACAUGGAGAAAAGCAUACAGCAAUUGGCAGGACUUUCAUAUGGACUUUACUGUUAUUAUGUGGUUUCACUGUAUCCAUGCUACACAGUGCACAACUGCACAUGCCCAGGCUUCCUCCUCCCCCUUUUGCCUGUACCCUAUUCUGAUU